rnacentral:lncRNA from 1 species
CAAUAGUGGAGCGUGCUUGGCGACCGCAGAGCUACCUAGGCUGAAGGAGUGACGCAGGCUACCAUGAAUGUUGAAUAAUAGCAAUAGCCUAUUAAGCUAUUACAAAUGUAGUCUAUAGCGUCUUAAAACACCAAAAUAAAUAAUGAUCAUGACAGUCAAUGGAAAGAAAAUCACACGACACGUCAUGAUUGUGGGUUCGACUCCCAGCACACGAACGGAAAAUGAAUGCAUGCAUACUGUCGCUUUGGAUAAAAGUGUGUGCUUAAUGUCACAUUUAAUAUUAUUGCACACCUCAUUUGUGAGACGUCGAACAUUUUCCUUCAUGGAAAGUUUGACAGUAGCUAUGGGCUGCCUGCACAUUCUGAGAAGACGGAAGAAAAUAAAACAGCUAUUUAAACCAGCCUCUCCGACGGACUGUCUCCACCUUCCACCACCAUGCGCCAAAUACUCGACUGUUCACAGCCAGAAACCAGACUCUGUCUCUCCACCCUUAAACUGUCUCCACCUUCCACCAUCGUGUGCCAAAUGCUCAAAAUGUCAAUCUGAAGGCUGGCAACCUGAUCCGGAGAUGGUGUGGUUGGACAGUAAAUGAGUCAAUCUCAAAUAUUUUAACUGUUCAAUGUGUGUAGACUUUCACUAGGCACUGUAUACCCAUUGAUUAUUGAAGAAAAUAAGUUAUAAAUGCUUGUUGAGCAUAGUUGAACUGUUCUUCCCCAUCAGAACCAAACAUAGGCCUGUUUAACUGAAAACAAACAUUUUAUAGCCUCAAAACAUGAUUAAAACUGUAAAUGGCCAGUCCUUGCAUCCAUAGCACCUACAUGUGUAUGGUCAGUGCUAUCUGGAAUCCUUGGUACUUCCUACCCUAAACCAUAACCCUUAGCUUAACCUUACACAUAUCCAAAUCCCUUACCUAGCCUUAAACAUUUUAAAUGUCAACUUCAAUGGAGUAGGGACAUCCAAAGGAUUCUGAAUAGCACAGAUCAUAUGUUUAUCAUCUGAGAGCUGUAUCCAUGAAUACUGGGCAGGGGACACAAGAUAAGAGAGACUGGUGUGAGAGACAGACAGUGGCCUGGCCAUUGAAUUAGGAAUUACAAUACUAUUAUGACAUGGCAUGACAAUAGAUCAAAGACAAUUUAUAUUUUCAGAGGGACAUUGAUUCAAGGCCUUUGCGGCCCGCAGGCUGCCAGUUGCCCAUCCCUGACCUAGAGUCCUGAUAUUCUUUGCAUAUGCCCCUCUUCUCACAAGGAACAAAUUUGCCUCAAGGACCCAGAAGGUCUGCCAUGAUGGAUUUUCCGCCGAUCUGUAUGAAACUUGAAAUUACAUCUAUUUUUUAUUUAACCUUUAUUUAACCAGGCAAGUCAGUUAAGAACAAAUUCUUAUUUACAAUGACGGCCCA